GGGUUAUUUACUACUAUUUAACUAUCAGACUAACAAACUAGAUAGAGGAAUAGACAAAAUUGGCCAUAGACUUGCUCAUGGAUUGACUAUGAAAUAAGAUGAAGUAAAUUGUAACUCCUCCCAGAUCACACUAUUCUUUUGGAUGUCCUUAAACUUUCUAUAUAUGUGGUAGAAGAUUUAUGAAGCCGAGUUUUCGUAGGAACAUGAAGUGCAUAGCUACAAGAAGACCAGAGCUUCCCAUCAUAGUGAAAAGACCAAAAUAUAACUAUUGGUGCUUACUGCAUACUAGUUUACUGUCAAGGACCUGCUCACCUUCUUUCCAUUUAAUUUUGACAUGCAGCAGAAAAAUAGACGACUGAACUCUAUCUCUCUUUACAACUUCUCGAUCUGUAUUUGCAUAACGUCUGUUUCCUUUAACACUAAGAUGUCUCUUGAUGGCUACCAAUAUAGGAUCACAAUUGUUAAUCAACAUCAUGUGUUCCAAAAUUUACCUGUACCUUACUAAUUUACCUUUCUUUCUCUUUUGUUUUUUAAUAUGCUUAGAUUGGUUAUGAUAAGCAAGGACUUCCAAUAGGCUUGCAGCUUAUUGGUCGUCCGUGGUGUGAAGCUACAAUCUUGCGUUUAGCUACUGUGAUAGAGGAAAUCUCUGCAGAGUAUAGGAAGAAGCCAGUGGAGUACUAUGACAUCUUGAAAGGGAAGUGAGAAUAAUGUUUUACAAGACACAAUUGAAAGAGAGCGAAGGAACUGACAGGAAUAAGCUUAAGCCUAGCCUUAGGGUAAGAGAAAGAUUUCAUCACAAAUGAACUUACAUAGAGAACGAAUCAAGUAAGUGCUGAAGAACAAUACUCCUAGAUAUAGAAAUGUGGUUGCUUUUUCAAUAAUUAUAUCUAGUGGAUUUUGGUGAUAUAUGCCUUUGAUUCAUGCAUUUAGUACCAGCAACCUUUCUGUAAUUUUCUACAUCCUUGAAGUUGUACACUGAAACUGCUUCAUUCAUAGUUUAAUGCAAUAUUUGGUUGUAUUCUAUUUUAUUU